GCACUCAUUUAGGUAGCACACAGACUAAAAUUGAAAGAAUACAAAGAAGAUUAGCAUAACCCCUAUGCAAGGAUAAUAUGCAAAUUUGUGAAAUGUUCCAUACAUUU